GUAUACCUCCGUCGCAAGCCUACCAUGUAAACGUACAGUAGUAAGCUUAAAGGUCUAUCACCAACACGUCAGGUCAAGGUGCAGCCUAUAAAAUGGAAAGCAAUGGGCUACAAUUUCUAUGUUAGAACAAACGAACCGCUAUAUGAAACUCAGCCGCGAAGGAGGAUUUAGUAGUAAAUAGAGAACAUAGAGCCCUAUUUAACUCGGCCAUGGGACGUGUACAAACCGCCCGUCACCCUCUUCAAUAGUACCCCCCCCCGCACCAUAACCUAUAAUCNCNUUUUAGAAGAGGCAAGUCGAAACAUGGUAAGUGUACUGGAAAGUGUACUUGGAAUAACAAAUUGUACCUUAAUAAAAGCCUCUCGUUUACACCGAAAAAUUGUCUGUGCAGUCGGAUCAUUUUGAGCCCAUAACCUAGCCCCCCCC
rnacentral:rRNA from 1 species